rnacentral:piRNA from 1 species
UNCAUGUCAGCGAUGCUUCCCUGUUGGUGU